GUGACCCUCAAACCCACAAUCUCCCCCAUUUUAUGACCCAGCCCCAAACUCUCCCGAGUACCUCUCUCUCACCAUACAUCCCUCCCUCUGCUCAGUCUGGGCCCAGGCCUUGUUUCCCUGAAGACAUGGAGUUUGUGUCUGGAUACCGGGAUGAGUUCCUUGAUUUCGUUGCCCUCCUCUUUGGCUGGUUCCGCAAGUUCGUGGCGGAGCGCGGGGCCGUGAGAACCAGCCCGGAGGGUUGCUGGUGGCAGCUGGAGGCUCAGAUCAGAAGGCUGCCCCAGGACCGCGCCCUUUGGGUGCUCCACGUCUUGCCCAACCGUAGUGUGGGCAUCAGCCUGGGGCAAGGGGCAGAGCCAGGCCCUGCACCAGGCCUGGGGGCUGCCCGGCUCCUGGGAGACGAGCCCCCACUCCACCUGCGGGACCUAAGCCCCUAUGUCAGCUUUGUCAGCCUGGAGGAAGGGGGAGAGGAGGAGGGCGCAGGCACCGAGAAAGUAGAAACAGAGGCGGAUGGGAAGCCAGCCCCUACCAGCAGGGAGUCCCCACGGGAAGCAAACCCCCCAGGGGAGGCAGACGGGGCCCAGCAGGAGGCAGGAGGUGGCGAGGUCAGCUGCCAAGAGGACAGAGCGGAGGACAAACCAGGGCCUGAGAGAAGAAAGGGACAGAGAAGUGAGGCGGCCCCCCUGCACCUUUCCUGCCUCCUACUGGUGACGGAUGAACACGGCACCAUCUUGGGCAUUGACCUGCUGACGGAUGGAGGGCAGGGGAGUGCAGGCAGGGGCUCAGGGACACAGAACCUGGCUCCUCGGGCCUAUGCUCUCCUCUGCCACAGCAUGGCCUGUCCCAUGGGCUCUGGAGACCCCCGAAAGCCCCGAAAGCUUACUGUGGGAGACGCCCAGCUGCAUCGGGAGCUGGAGAAUCUGGUCCCAAGGCUGAAAGUGAAGCUAACCAAGACCCCGAUGCGGACAUGGGGUCCCCGGCCCGGCUUUACCUUUGCCUCCCUUCGGGCUCGAAACUGCCAUGUUUGUCACAGGCAUAGCUUUGAAGUGAAGCUAACCCCCUGCCCCCAGUGUGGCGCUGUCUUGUACUGCGGAGAGGCUUGUCUCCAGGCUGACUGGAAGCGAUGCCCAGAUGAUGUGAGCCAUCGAUUUUGGUGCCCAAGGCUUGCAGCCUUCAUGGAGCGGGCCGGAGAACUGGCAACUCUGCCUUUUACCUACACCGCAGAGGUGACCAGUGAAACCUUUAACAAGGAGGCCUUCCUGGCCUCACGAGGCCUCACUCGUGGCUACUGGACCCAGCUCAGCAUGCUGAUUCCAGGCCCUGGCACCCUCGGGCACCCAAGGGGCAGCACACCAUCCCUCAGCGUUCUUCUCAAUGGAGAUCCCUACCAGCUUCUUCAGGGGGAUGGGCCUGCUCUGAUGCCUCCUGUGCCCCCAGAUCCACCCAGGGGCCUCUUUGGCUCGUGGCAGGAUUACUACACAUGGCGGGGCCUCAGCUUGGACUCCCCCAUGGCUGUGCUUCUCACCUACCCGCUGACUAUGUACUACGUCAUCACCCAUCUGGUGCCCCAGUCCUUCCCUGAGCUCAACAUCCAGAACAAACAGUCACUGAAAAUCCACGUGAUGGAGGCUGGGAAGGAGUUUGACCUCAUCAUGGUGUUUUGGGAGCUCUUGGUCUUGCUCCCCCACGUGGCCCUGGAGCUGCAGUUUGUGGGUGACAGCCUGCCCCCUGAGAGUGACCAGCAGAAUUUUACCUUGCAGAGGGUGAGGGCUGAGGGGGGUGCCCUGCUCUUUAGCCGUAACCCUCCUGCUGUCCUCCCAGCUGGGCUCUGCCCUUCCGAUCCCUGCCUCCUCUCCCCUGUCUUACCUGAUGCAUCUCCCAGUACCAAAACUUCCACCGGCUUCUCCACCCCACUCCAAACUCCCCAGGAUGACCUCGAAGUAUCUGUCCGUCCUGGUUCCGGGGUAUCAGCACGGCUAAGCUCUGGGACUAAGGAGAAGGGGGGCCGCAGGGACCUUCAGAUCAAGGUGUCUGCACGGCCCUACCACCUGCUCCAGGGGCCCAAGCCUGACUUGGUUAUCGGAUUUAACUCUGGCUUUGGUCUAAAGGACACUUGGCUGAGCUCGCUGCCCCGGUUACAGUCCCUCCGAGUGCCGGCCUUCUUCACCGAGAGCAGCGAGUACGGCUGUGUGAUGGACGACCAGACCAUGGCGGUGGCCACGGGAGGGGGCACCAGCCCUCCACAGCCCAACCCUUUCCGCUCCCCCUUUCGCCUCAGAGCGGCGGACAACUGUAUGCCCUGGUACUGCAACGCCUUCAUCUUCCACCUGGUCUACAAGCCUCCGCAAGGGAGCUGGGCCCGCCCGGCGCCAGGGCCCGCGCCUCCCGCCCCAACUCCUACCGCUCCUCCCGCCCCCGCCCGUAGGCGCCGAGGAGAAAAGAAACCUGGGCGGAGGGCCCGCCGGCGGAGGUGAGGGCGGAGAGGUAGAAGUCCACCCCCUCCCCUAACACGCCUCAGAAAGGAACACGAAACCGGCGAGGCCGAGGGGGGAGGCCAGUUGGCGGAACACGAAAGACUAAUCAUGAGAACACACCAGACAAAACCAAUCUGUGGGACAGUCUACAAAACCCCUGACUGCUAUUCUUCAAAAGCAUCAAAGUCACGAAAAGCAAAGAAAGACCAAGAAACGGUGACAGAUUGGAAGAGACUUAAGGAGACAUGACAACUAAAUACGAUUCAGUAUCCUGGUUUGGACCCUGGAACAGAAAAAAAAAUUUAAUGGAAAAACUGGAGAAAUUCAAAUAAAGUUUUCAGUUUAGCUAAUGGUAUUGUAUCAAUGCUAAUUUCUUAGUUUUGAUAAACACGCUGUGGUUAUAGAAGAAGUAAUAAGGAAGAUGUGUGAGGAGUAUUUGGGAACACUCUACUGUCUUUGCACCCCACCUAUAAAUCUAAAAUUAUUUCAAAAAAAAGUUUAAAAUUUCAGACUCUUUAGUAUGGCUUGUAAGUUGCUUCUCUUUCUGUCAUCCUCUUUUAUUAUAACUAUGUUAUUAUCAAAGUUUCCAAAUAUACACAAAAGCCCAGAAGAUUCAGCAUAAUGAAUCUCUAUGUGCCCAUCACCCAGCUUCAACAAUUAUCAACAUUUUUCAAAUUUUAUUAUUACUCCCUGUGAUAAUGUGAUAAUAUAAGAAAUAUAUAUAUUUGGUCUGCGUGCCCCAUUUCUGGCACAAGAGCUUCUAUAAUCUGAGUGACAGAGGUGAGAGGAGCAUCUUUUGUUAUUCAUAAUAAGCCGCUUUCAACCAUACCUGAGUUUAAUAAGGUAACUCUAGGUGGGCCCUUAUUUAACUUCAGGAUGGAAGUUAGAUACUAGAGGAACCAACCGCAUGAUUAGAGAGGGCUGAAACGUUCAGCCCCACCCCUUACUCUCCAAGGGAGAGGAGCGAGGCUGGAGAUUAAGUUAAUCACCAAGCAACCUGCAUAAAAAUCCCUAAACGAUGGGCUUCAGAGAGCUUCUGGGUUAAUGAACACACUGAGGUACUGAGGCUGGCACACCUGGAGAGAACAUGGAAGCUCCAGGCUACCCCCUCUUCCCUCACCACACCUUGCCCUAUACCUCUUUUCCGUUUUGCAGUUCCUUUACAACAAACCAGUAAUAAUUAGUAAACUGUUUUCCUGAGUUCUGUGAGCCAUUUUAGCAAAUUAUUGAACCUGAGAAGGAGAUCGCAGGAAGCCUCAGUUUAUAGUCAGUCGGUCAGAGGGCCCAGGGCUUGCAAUUAGCAUCUGAAGUGGGGGCAGUCUUUUAGGACUGAGCCCUUAACCUGUGGCAGUCUGUGCUCACUCUGGGCCAGGCUUAAUGACUCUUAUCACAAAGUAUAGAAAGGGAAAAAUUCCGUGUCUGGAGUGAUUGAAUUGGGACUUCCCUGGUGGCACAGUGGUAAAGAAUCUGCCU